rnacentral:piRNA from 1 species
UCCUAAAUUCUUCGAAUUUUGUU